CCAGCUUUUGGGCAAAAGCGCUUCCUUCAACCGUGGAAAUCAAGAAGCUGCAUUUCGUAGCUUUUGAUUUCUGCUUUUGCGGGAAUCAUGUUUUCUAAAAUUUACAUCGAAAGUCCGUGUUUCCUCUUCGCCCACAUCCUUUGCUCUCUCACCACUUCUUCACCAGGUGCAAGAUUAAAUCAUUAUGGAUCCUUGGAGACGACCACAAUGCUCUGCAGAUGACCACCGACACCAAUGCCCUGCUCCCAAAAUCGAUUCUUUGUGUUGCUUAUCCGAAGAUCGAGGUCGGAAAAGUGGCCGGAUCUGAUAUCUGGAAAAGAAAACGAGGAGGGUUUUUUGUGGGUAAGAGUAGCGAUGGUGGGAAGAAAGGAGGGGUGCCCAAUUUGAAUUACGUGGUGGCCUUAGACAAAUUCUCAGGGACCUGAACAAGAGGAUUCCUGAUAACAUCAUCAGUACACCCCUAGCAAUCAGUUCAUCUUCAUUCCUUGGUACCAUGCGAACUGGUUGUUGAGUUUCUAUGCUCCUGGUAUGUCUCUUUACUUCAAUUUGCUUGUAAUUUUCAAGUGUGAUAGGGAAUAUCAACCAUAGGAACAUGGUUAGGCUUUGGGGUUUCUGUUAUGAGAAUGAACAUAUGUUGUUGGUAUGUGAGUAGCUGGAGAAUGGAUCCUGCUGGAUAAACUCUUGUUCUUGGAUGUUGAAUUAGGAUUGGAGUAGGGAAUCAGCGAUACAAUAUUGCAUUAGGCACUGCAAAGAGUUGUCAUAUCUACACGAAGAGUGUCUGGAAUGGGUACUACUCCAUUCUAAUGUAAAGCCUCAAAAUAUGUUGUUGAAGGACUGAAAAGAUUAGUACAAUUGCAGCAUGUACACUAUAUUACAAUUGAUAUAUAUUGUUAAUUGAGGACUGUGGGAUGGUACUCCUUUUUGAUAUAUGAACAUGUUUUAAGGGCAAAAUAUAUGAGUUAUGUUUCAAUUUGA